AUUGAACGCUGGCGGCGUGCCUAACACAUGCAAGUCGAGCGAAGUUAUUCCUUCGGGAAUAACUUAGCGACGGACGGGUGAGUAACACGUGGGUAACCUGCCUUAUAGAGGGGGAUAGCCUUCCGAAAGGAAGAUUAAUACAGCAUAACAUCAAACUUUCGCAUGGAAGUUUGAUCAAAGGAGUAAUCCGCUAUAAGAUGGACCCGCGGCGCAUUAGCUAGUUGGUGAGGUAACGGCUCACCAAGGCGACGAUGCGUAGCCGACCUGAGAGGGUGAUCGGCCACAUUGGGACUGAGACACGGCCCAGACUCCUACGGGAGGCAGCAGUGGGGAAUAUUGCACAAUGGGGGAAACCCUGAUGCAGCAACGCCGCGUGAGUGAUGAAGGCCUUCGGGUUGUAAAGCUCUGUCUUUGGGGACGAUAAUGACGGUACCCAAGGAGGAAGCCACGGCUAACUACGUGCCAGCAGCCGCAGUAA
rnacentral:rRNA from 1 species